AACGAACGCUGGCGGCAUGCCUAACACAUGCAAGUCGAACGAGACCUUCGGGUCUAGUGGCGCACGGGUGCGUAACGCGUGGGAACCUGCCCUUAGGUUCGGAAUAACUCCCCGAAAGGGGUGCUAAUACCGGAUAAUGUCUUCGGACCAAAGAUCUAUCGCCUUGGGAUGGGCCCGCGUUGGAUUAGCUAGUUGGUAGGGUAAAAGCCUGCCAAGGCGACGUUCCAGAGCUGGUCGGAGAGGAUGAUCAGCCACACUGGGACUGAGACACGGCCCAGACUCGUACGGGAGGCAGCAGUGGGGAAUAUUGGACAAGGGGCGAAGGCCUGAUCCAGCAAUGCCGCGUGAGUGAUGAAGGGCUUAGGGUUGUAAAGCUCUUUGACCCGGGAUGAUAAUGACAGUACCGGGAGAAUAAGCUCCGGCUAACUCCGUG
rnacentral:rRNA from 1 species